rnacentral:misc_RNA from 1 species
GAUGAAGAACGUAGCGAAAUGCGAUACUUGGUGUGAAUUGCAGAAUCCCGUGAACCAUCGAGUCUUUGAACGCAAGUUGCGCCCGAAGCCUCGGCUAAGGGCACGUCUGCCUGGGCGUCACGCAUCGCGUCUCCCCCAAACCGCCAAGGCGGAGGGGAAGGAAGAUGGCUUCCCGUGCCUCACCCGGCGCGGUUGCCCUAAAUUUGGAGCCCGCGGCACUUAGCUCACGCGGCGAUAGGUGGUGAACAAGGCCUUGGCCGUGCAAACAACCCGCUGCGAAGCUCUAUGUCACGUGCGCUCGUCGGACCCUUUGAAGUUGCCUUCGGUGACUUAAAACCUUUGCGACCCCAGGUCAGGCGGGGCUACCCGCUGAAUUUAAGCAUAUCAAUAAGCGGAGGA